AGCGAACGCUGGCGGCAGGCUUAACACAUGCAAGUCGAACGCCCCGCAAGGGGAGUGGCAGACGGGUGAGUAACGCGUGGGAACGUACCCUUUGGUUCGGAAUAACUUGGGGAAACUCAAGCUAAUACCGGAUAAGCCCUUAUGGGGAAAGGUUUACUGCCGAAGGAUCGGCCCGCGUCUGAUUAGCUAGUUGGUGAGGUAAUGGCUCACCAAGGCGACGAUCAGUAGCUGGUCUGGGAGGAUGAUCAGCCACACUGGGACUGAGACACGGCCCAGACUCCUACGGGAGGCAGCAGUGGGGAAUAUUGGACAAUGGGGGCAACCCUGAUCCAGCCAUGCCGCGUGAGUGAUGAAGGCCUUAGGGUUGUAAAGCUCUUUUACCCGGGACGAUAAUGACUGUACCGGGAGAAUAAGCCCCGGCUAACUUCGUGCCAGCCGCCGCAGUAA
rnacentral:rRNA from 1 species